ensembl:lincRNA
GCCCUCCCCCCCCGGGGGACAGAAGGCCGCUCACCUGCCCACGAGUGGGUCCUGAGACCACCGGGAUGGGGCUUGGGCCCAACAGGCUGCAGAAGUCAGGCUGGAGGCCCUGAUGGCGGAUGCUGGGCGGAGACCCGCCAGGCUCAGGAGCCCGCCUCCGCCAGAGGCCCCUGGAGACGGCCCGGGUGGGCCGGGCUGCUGACCAGGCCAGGAGAGGUCCAGUCACAACUGUCGAGUACCCGGAACGAGAGGGCAAGUGCCCAGGGUGCGCUCUCACGCCUCCCGUCUGCACCCGGCCCCGUGAGGGUCAGAGCCUGUGGCCGGUCACACACAGGCCCCGCGUGAGUCACCGGGUGGGCACAGCUGGAGACCCCCUGGACACUUCCAAGGGGGCAGCCUCUGGCCCCGGCCCCUCAGACCAACCGGGAGACAGACAGAGGAGCCCCAGGGCCAACCUCCCAGGGCCUCUGGCCUCGGGCCUCUGACUGGCCACUUGCCCUGUGGGCAGCCCAGUGCCUUUCACAAAGUGCCCACAAGCUGGGGAUUUCCCACCACUCGACAUGAGACUUUAGGGAGAAAAAGUUUCUUGGUGCCACUAACUGAAGCCCAGCGAAUUCCUGGAACACAUGCCUUCAGCCUUAUCCAGUGUGAGAACCAAGGCUGGCGCUCCCUGCCGGGAGGGGGGUGCUGAGCGGCACACCCCCGGCUCUGGGGCCCCCCACCCUCACCAGCUGCCUUGGGGAGGGCUCAGGGGUUCAGUUCCAAGUCUCCCCCCAACCCCUAGCAUCUGCCCGAAACAUUUCCUAGGGAAACUGGGCCAAGAGCUAAGGGCAAUUGGCCCAACUCUCCCAAAGCCGGGGGAGGGGCUGUCUGACGCACCCGGGUCGGGAAGCUGGGUGACCACGGGCACUGGAAGUGCGCUGGCGCCCCUCGAAAGUCCCUGUUUUAUCUUUAGGUGAGCAGCUGCCGGUUGGACCCCCGGGCCUGGAGACGAGGAUGGGAGCCCGGCAUUCACUGUGUCCCCUCGAGCUUGCUGCCUGGGCAUCUUUCCUGCGCACCCACCAGCCCCCUGGGGAGCCCGCCUGAGUGAGACACCUCAGCGCUUCUUGCUGCCUCUUCCCGGGGCCGCCCUACGCCGAGCACAGAGAAGCCAGUGUCCACGCACCACCCCCGCCGCUCCAGCCUCCCGUUGCUGUGCCUGCCCCAGAGCCCACGGCCUCUGCAGACCUGGGGGCGUCACUGGGACUGAACACAAACAGGGCAGCCCUCCCAGGGCGGUGCCUCCUCUGAAGCCCCUUUAUGAGAGCCCCCGGGUGCAUUCCCACCAUGAGCGUGACUCCGGGCCUGCCAGGCAGUGUUCCCAGGAGGCCAGCAGGACACAGUCCACACAGACCGUGGAGACACACGGCAGCUUGUGGGUGCCCUGUUUUAUUCACCACCGUGUGGAGAAGGAAAUGGCAACCCACUCCAGUGUUCUCUCCUGGAGAAUCCCACGUACAGGCGAGUCUGGCAGGCUGCAGUCCGUGGGGUCGCUGAGAAUCGGACACAACCGAGCGACUGAGCAACGUGCCCACCCUGCCCACUGCCCCCCGCACUGUGCCCCUCUGGGGCUGCGACUCGGGCGGGGUUCUCUUCAGAACCUCCCCUCCCUCCACACUCAGGAACCCCAACUGCAAAUAGGCUCCAGGUUGCUGAGUCUGCCCUCUCUCCCCGCCCUCCUUGCCCCGGCAACGAAGGUCCAACCAGCCAGGGACAGACUCCUCUUCCUUGGAUCAUUUGUCCUCCUAGGGUGGGAGGGUAGCCACCACCUGGCAGGGAAGAGGCUUGGGAAAGAGACCACCCCCAGGUGCCUUCGCUGCUCCCUGGGUGUCUGUGUCUGAGCCCCAGCCUUGCCGUCCUGGGAGGUGGGUGACGCGACCGCUAUGCGAGCCUGAGCGCCAUCCCUGCUGUGCGGCCCGCUCCAACCUCCCCACCUCCCCAGAGGGCCAAGGCCUCCUCGAGGGCGGACGGGGUGUGCAGUUACUCUGCAGGUGCCCAGCACAGGAGCCAGGCCCCCCGGCCCUGGGGGACAGCGUGUUGCCCAAGCAGCCAGAGUGCUGCAGUGCCCCCUCCCUGCCUGAGGGCCAUCCCUGAGUGUGCCUCCCUGAGUGUGCCUCCCUGAGUGUGCCUGAGUGUGUCCAGUGUCCAGUGCACGGCCAAGCAGAGCUUCCUGCUCCAGGGCACAGAGCGGACGAGGGACUGUGCCCUCCGGCCUGGCGGGGGGUCAGGGUCCCCAGGAGCCCUGAUUGUGAAGAGGGUGCAGCCAAGACCCCCAGGCUCCGCCCUCCCCUCCUCUUGCUCCAGGAUCCUCCUGACUGGAAUGCUGUCCAGUGUAUCCUUCAGCUUCAGGCAGAGGCCACCCCUGCCUCCCUCACUCCUGACCUUUGGGUUUUUUGUUGAGCGGGGCCAGGCAGCAGGAACUUUCAUCUAUUAACUUCAUCCCUAACCCUAACCUGCUACAGCCUCACAGCCCAGAACCAGCCACUGUGGGGACAGAAGGGAGGGGGAGGGGGAAGGAAGAGGCGGGGGAGGGUGGGGAAGGGGGCGGGGAGGGGCGGGGAGGGGCGAGGGGGGAGGGGAGGGAGAAGGGAAGGGGAGGGGGAGAGGGAGGAGGGCAGGGGCGGGGCGGGGGGGUGGGGGGAGGAUGGGCAGCUCACUACAGCUACUUCCUUUCUUGCACAACCCGCUCCCCAAGAACGAUGACUCACUUGGUUUUCUUUGAACCUGCCUUGUCCCCCACAUCCUUUGGUGUCUGAGAAGCGAGCCUUCCGCGGCUCCGGGAGUCAGGCCGCCUCAGCCCCCGCCCCGACCCCUCAGGCCCCGCUCCAGGCUCUGUCCACCGGGACCGGCCCCUUCUCCUGCAGGCGCUCCCCAGUUCCAGGGAUGUGGGGGGCCGUCUCAGAAACCGCCCUGUCGGGCUGAGGGCGGCUCCGCAGCGUUCCCUGCUGCUGUCUGCGCCCGCGCUCCCCUCCAGUCCUCCGGGACGCACCUUAGCUCUGGAAAAGGCUCUCUUCUGUUCCGGACUUCCAUUCCCCACAGCUGGCUCUGUCCUCUAGCUUUUCCUUUCCAGAUGCUCUGCGUCCAUUCUGUGUCAUUUCUGUGACCAGAAGUGGUCCUUUCCUAACGGGUGCGAUGUCUCCGGCCGUCUCUGAGACCGUGGACGUCAGGAGUUCUGAGCUGUCCUCGGGCCCUUGCCCUGCCCUCUUGCAGGUGCCGAGGGGACCGUCCCUCGCUUCUCACAGAGGGAGGCGCUGCUGGGGCGGACAGAGGCUGGGCCUGUUGGGCAGCGCAUACCUGUGGGUGGCGUCUCAGGGGGCGGCUCCUGCUCAAGGGCGGAGGGGCUCCCUGUUCAGGGAGCCCUCAGCCACCCCCUGCCGCUGCCCCCCUGAGCCCCACCAGGCUCUGGGGACACGGACUGCCAGCUUUCCCCUGGAAUUUGCCCUUCCUGGAUUCUGGGGGCAGACGUUUACCUCUCUGUUUCUGUGCGUUGCUGGAAGACAAUUCCAAUGAGACCUCAUUGCUGGAAGCUAGUCUGCACCUCUAUGAACCAGGUGAGGGCCCAGCACAGCCGGGCUGCAUGGGGCCUGGUGGGAGGAGUGGCUGGGUCUGACAGGCCCCCUGUGCACCCACCUCUGCAUGAAUACAGCAGGGCCAGGGCACCCUUCCGCCAAACCCUGGCCUAAGCACCACUUACCACACGACCUUGGCCAAAUUAAGGGUCCUCUCUGAGCCUUCACUUUCUCAUCUAUAAAACAGGUAAGUAUAGACCAACAAAACAGCCCAGAAACAAACCCUCACACUAUAGUCAGGGAUGCUUGACAAGGGUGAUGUCUUUGCUUUUUAAUACACUGUCUAGGUUUGUCACAACUUUCCUGCCAAGAAGCAAGCGUCUUCUAAUUUCAUGCCUGCAGUCACCGUCCACAGCGAUUUUAGAGCCAAGAGGAAGAAACCUGUCACGGCUCCCACCUUUUCCCCUGCUAUUUGUCAUGAAGUGAUGGGGCCGGAUGCCAUGAUCUUACUUUUUUAAAUAUUGAGUUUCAAGUUGGCUUUUUCACAGAUUAUUGAGGAAAUGCAAAUAAAAACCACAAAUAAGAUAUGACCUCACACUUAUUAGGAUGGCUACUGUCAAACAUUGUUCAGUUGCUUCAGGUCAGUUCAGUCCAGUCGCUCAGUCGUGUCCUGCAGCACACCAGGCUUCUCUGUCCAUCACCAACUCCCAGAGUUUACUCAAACUCAU